rnacentral:rRNA from 1 species
CGUGCUUAACACAUGCAAGUCGAACGAUGAUCUCCAGCUUGCUGGGGGGAUUAGUGGCGAACGGGUGAGUAACACGUGAGUAACCUGCCCUUAACUUCGGGAUAAGCCUGGGAAACUGGGUCUAAUACCGGAUACGACCAUCGAAGGCAUCUUCUGGUGGUGGAAAGAUUUUUUGGUUUUGGAUGGACUCGCGGCCUAUCAGCUAGUCGGUGGGGUAAUGGCCUACCGAGGCGACGACGGGUAGCCGGCCUGAGAGGGUGACCGGCCACACUGGGACUGAGACACGGCCCAGACUCCUACGGGAGGCAGCAGUGGGGAAUAUUGCACAAUGGGCGAAAGCCUGAUGCAGCGACGCCGCGUGAGGGAUGACGGCCUUCGGGUUGUAAACCUCUUUCAGUAGGGAACAAGGCCAUCUUUUUGGGUGGUUGAGGGUACUUGCAGAAGAAGCACCGGCUAACUACGUGCCAGCAGCCGCGGUAAUACGUAGGGUGCAAGCGUUAUCCGGAAUUAUUGGGCGUAAAGAGCUCGUAGGCGGUUUGUCGCGUCUGUCGUGAAAGUCCGGGGCUCAACUCCGGAUCUGCGGUGGGUACGGGCAGACUAGAGUGAUGUAGGGGAGACUGGAAUUCCUGGUGUAGCGGUGGAAUGCGCAGAUAUCAGGAGGAACACCGAUGGCGAAGGCAGGUCUCUGGGCAUUAACUGACGCUGAGGAGCGAAAGCAUGGGGAGCGAACAGGAUUAGAUACCCUGGUAGUCCAUGCCGUAAACGUUGGGCACUAGGUGUG